CUCGGUUCUAUGUUUGUUAGCUUAAUAGUCAUUCUAUUCUGAGCAACCAUCAAAUUUUCCUUUAAAAGAGAUAAGAUUGUGUUUCGCUCCUGCAAACACCUAUCAACUAGAUCAAGUUUUGUAGUACCAGCCUCAUAAACUGGUAUUGCUGAAGGUGGUUGCCCAUAAACCACCUCGCAGGGACAUAGCUUGGUGGUAGAGUGGAAGGUCGUGUUGUAACUAUACUCUGCCCACGGUAACCAAGUCAACCACUUAUUGGGCUGUAGGCUGCAAAAACACCUCAAAUACGUUUCCAAACACCUGUUAACCACCUCUAUUUGCCCAUCUGUCUAUGGAUGAUAAACCGAGCUAAAACACAGGUUUGAACCUUACAGUGCAAAAAAUUCCUUCCAAAAUUUGCUCAUAAAGAUGGGAUCUCUAUCGGACACUAUUGAAGUAAGCAUUCCAUGGAGUUUAAAGAUGUGUUCAACAAAUAGAUUCGCCACCGAGACAGCCGUGUAAGGAUGGGAAAGGGCAAGAAAGUGAGCAUACUUGGACAACCUAUCUACAACUACCCAAAUUACAAAUUUACCUUUGCAAGGUGGUAAUCCCACGAUAAAGUCCAUUGAAAUGUCGGUCCACACUCGAGAAGGAAUCGGUAAUGGUUGGAGUAAUCCCGCAGGAGCCAAUGUCUCAUAUUUUUGUUGUUGACAAGUUGCACAAUUGGAUACAAAUUCCUUGAUAUCCUUUUUCAUGCCAACCCAAUAAAAAGACCGAGAUAGUCUUUUAUAGGUUUUAAGGAAUCCAGCAUGUCCAGCAAUAGCACUACAAUGAUGUUCUUCAAAUACCUUAUGCCGUCAUGCACAAGUGGGACUCAAAACUAUUCUAUCUUUGUAUCUCAAGAAUCCAUUGUCAAACUUGUAUGUCAAUUUAUAACUAAUUCCUUUUUUUUUUUUUUUUUUUUUAUGGCUUUAAUUUCUGAAUGCGUGUAAGAAAUCGAGAAUGGGAAUGCAAUCUUCACCACAAGCAACCACAACCCUAAUUAAUUCCCCAAAUCAAAUCCAGCAAGUGAUCCAAUUUAAUAACCCUCUUCAUUCCCAAUCCCCCCACCCUCUCCAUCUCUCUAUAACGUUGAUCUUUGUUUCCAAUUCGAUCCAAUUGCUCUAUUUGGGUGUUGUGUGAGUUUAGAGAUCAUCCAUGAAUUGAAAGCUCAAUUGAUCCUUUCAAGCUUCCAAGGUGUGUAGCUCAAUUGGAGUUUUUAUACGGAGUCUCAAACAACAAAAUUUGAAGAAAUAAAGCGUAGAAAAUGGAAAAGUAUGAGCUUGUUAAGGAUAUUGGAUCUAGGAAUUUUGGGGUGGCCAGGAUUAUGAGGAACAAAGAGACCAAAGAGCUCGUCGCCAUGAAAUACAUCGAACGCGGCCACAAGAUUGAUGAGAAUCUGGCAAGGGAAAUCAUAAACCAUAGAUCGCUUCGCCACCCAAACAUCAUUCUGUUAUUGUUAUUGGACCCGUGGACCCAACCCAAACCGGCCCGUUUCAAACGGGUCAGGUUAGGUUCGGUUUCAGAUUCUGAAAUUUCAUUAUGCGGCCCGGCCCGGCCUGUUUCUUUUAACCUGGGUUCGGUCUGAUCCCUUCAAAAUUGGGCCCGGCUCGGCCCAUGCCUAGCCUUAAAUUCGGUAACUUGUAAUUAGUUAUUUCUCGAGUAUGUUUUCCACUAAUGGGUGUCUUCUUGCUCAUAUAUUUUGCAUAUAACUCAGAGUCGUGUAACUCUGGCAAUGAAUGAUCUCUUACUGGCAGACUAUUCUGAUUUCGAGAUCAAUGAGGUGUUAAUUCACAUGGAUCCACACACUGCUCCAAGGCCGGAUGGAAUGCCCCCAAUAUUUUUUUUCAGAAGUUGUAGCCAAUUGUUGGCAAUGAUGUAAUAUGUGUGGCCAAGUCAUUUAUCUCAUCUGGGCAUAUUUUGAAAGAGCUCAAUUAUACUCUCAUCUCUAUAAUUAUGAAGGUAGUUGAAGUUCAGAACAUGACGCAGCUUAGACCGAUUGCAUUGUGUAACGUUCUAUAUAAAAUUGGUGCCAAGGUGUUAGUGAACCGUUUAAAGAGCAUAUUGGAUUAGAUUAUUUCCAAGCAGUAAGGUGCCUUUGUCCCUGGUAGAAUGAUUUCUGAUAACUCUGUUAUUGCUUCUGAGGUUGGGCAUUAUCUUCACAAUCUUCAUCGAGGCCGGAAUGGUUAUCUAGCUUUAAACCUAGAUAUGAGUAAGGAAUACAAUCGAGUGGAAUGAGGAUUCUUGCAUUCUAUAUUGUUGAAGCUUGGAUUUGCUGCGAGUUGGGUUGAAACUGUCAUGAAUUGUGUAUCCUCUGUCUCAUACUUUUUCCUAGUUAAUGGUGAGAUUACAGGUUACAUUUCCCCCACUCGUGGUCUCCGUCAAGGAAUGUUGGCAUCUAAAGAAUAUUAAGAAUAUUUAUGAACGUGCAUCCAAGCAACGUAUCAAUCUGCAAAAGAUUGUCCUGUCUUUUAGCCCCAAUGUUUGUCGAGCCAUUCAAGAUCAACUUGCUCCUAUAUGCCUCGGGUGGAUGUUCUGGACAAGUAUUUAGGGCUUCUGAUUGUUAUUGGUCAAAGUCGUUUCACAAGAUUUGCAUACAUUAAAGAUAGGUUGUGGAAAAAACUUAAAGAUUGGAAAGACAAGCUAUUGAGUAGUGCAGGGAAGGAGAUUUUUAUUAAGGGGGACCCUGGUGAUUCAAAGAGUAUUCAUUGGCUUUCAUGGGAAAACAUGUGCAAACCAACAUCUGAGGGUAGUUUGGGAUUUUGAUCUCUGUAUGAUUUCAAUCUCGACCUUUUGGCUAAAUAGGGCUGGAGACUGCUUCACAACUCGGAUUCACUUACCUCUCAAUUACUCAAAGUCAAAUAUUUUCCUCACAAUUCCUUUUGAGAUGUUACUUUGGGUUCCAGUCCGUCUCUUUGCUGGCGAGGGAUUAUGGAGGCUCGCAUCGUUCUAGAGCGAGGGUCUCGUUGAAAGGUGGGCAAUGGGUGUUCUAUUUGUAUUUGGAAAAACAGGUGGCUGGAUCGUCUGCACUUGUUUCGGCCUUUAUCAUCACCCCCAUCCAAUGGUGAAUCAGAAUUGGUCUAUUCCUUAAUCUUGCUAUCGCUGGCUUCCUAAAAUGAUCAGUUACUAUUGAAUAUUUUCCCUCUUAAUGAAGCUUUGAUAAUUUUCUCCA